GCAUGCAUCAGGAUAUUCCUUGAGAUAAAAUGACAGUGAGCCAAGAUCUAUGCUGGGAGAGGGACGGCAACUUGGUCCAAACAUCAUAACUUCAGUCUUGUUCUCAUUUAGACU